GACGUUUGACAUACUUGGUGUUCCUC
rnacentral:piRNA from 1 species